rnacentral:rRNA from 1 species
AGUGAACGCUGGCGGCAGGCCUAACACAUGCAAGUCGAGCGGAAGCAGGGUGCGUGCUUCUGGUUACAGCGGCGGAGGGGCGGGUAAGGCCUAGGAACAUCGGUGGUUACGUGUUAGAAGGGGAGAAAACGGGGGCAAAUACGCUAAUCGCCCAUACGACCUAAGGGUGGGAGCAGGGGAUCUUAGGCCAUCACGUGAGUCUAGGUCGGAUUAGCUAGUUGGUGGGGUAAAGGCCUACCAAGGCGACGAUCCGUAGCUGGUCUGAGAGGAUGAUCAGACACACUGGAACUGAGACACGGUCCAGACUCCUACGGGAGGCAGCAGUGGGGAAUAUUGGACAAUGGGCGCAAGCCUGAUCCAGCCAUGCCGCGUGUGUGAAGAAGGCCUUCGGAUUGUAAAGCCCCUUUGUUUGGGAAGAAGAGCAGUAAGUUAAUACCUUGCUGUUUUGACGUUACCCAAAGAAUAAGCACCGGCUAACUUCGUG